AAAAAAAAAAGUUCUACUUUAAUCAAAAGGAUGCAGGGAUGCUCUUAGGAUAUUGAUGGACUCUUGGUAACAUAAAAACUGACUUAAAGAAAAAAUUACGUUUAAUCAAUAUAAUUACAUUCUCUGCUAUGUUCGUUAAAAAUCUGCUUUUGUCUAAAUUUUGUGUGUUAGACAAAAUUACAAUCAUCUUCUCUGUAAGAGGGAUGAAACAUCCUCUGGGCUGUCGGAAACCAUAGUGUGGAGGCCUAAACCAAUGAAGAUGAGAGGGCUGAAAGUACAACUAAUAUUUUGGCUCUCGCCCUAAGGUCAGACAAGACUUAGGGGGCAAAAAAAAACCUCUAAAAGAGCCCUAAUAUUCUGAUAAGUCCCUGUCUUCUUGGUCAAAGAGGACAAGAAGAACCUAGGGACUGGACUCUAACCAGUCACACUCUGCAAAGAGAUUUGUUGGGGAGUGAAACACAGUCAGCAAGACCCUGACCCAUUCUUAUGAUUCAACGGGUAGAGGAAAAAUUAUAAAAGCCAAGGGACUCUCCUUAAGUUCCCAAGAGUAACAACUCUCAGAAUUUUGACUGACUUUAACAGUAAAAAAAAAGGGGGGGGUUAAAUUAUGGUCACCUACAUGGCCACGAACACACAACAGGAAAUAUAGCCAGAAACAAUAAAACAGUUCUACCAGCCCCAACCAGGAUUCCUGGAUCUGCUGCAACUGCCCUGCUCAACUUCUUGUGGGGAAGUACAAGACUCUGGAGCUCCUCUGCAGGUGCCCUCUGAACAAAACUAUCAGCCAGUCAAUGAGGCCUAGCCUGAUAACCCAUCGUGCAUGCACACAGCCAUGAGCUGUGGUGGUUUGAAUGAGAAACGUCCCCCAUAGACAUAUUUAAACAUGGUGGUGCUCCUUGGGGAAGGUAAGGAGCCUUUAGGAUGUGCAGCCUUGCUGGAGGGAGUAUGUCACUAGGUGAGGAUUUCAACAGUUUAUACCUUCACCCAACUUCCAGUUCAUUCUCUUUUGUGCUUGCAUUAAGGAUAUGGUCUCCUAGCUUCCUGCUCCGACCACCUGCUACUAUGCCUCCCCUUCCAUUACAAAGGUCCGCUCUGAAGCCAUAACCUCAAAUAAACUCUUCUUUAUAUAACUGCCCAUUAAUCUAUCACAGCAACAAAAAGUAACCAAAACAAUCUACAAAUUAUCAAAGUAGAUUGGGAACACAUGGGCCAUAUCAUGAAACAAAAACAAAA
rnacentral:sRNA from 1 species